rnacentral:rRNA from 1 species
UACGUAGGGUCCGAGCGUUGUCCGGAAUUACUGGGCGUAAAGAGCUCGUAGGUGGUUUGUCGCGUUGUUCGUGAAAACUCACAGCUCAACUGUGGGCGUGCGGGCGAUACGGGCAGACUUGAGUACUGCAGGGGAGACUGGAAUUCCUGGUGUAGCGGUGGAAUGCGCAGAUAUCAGGAGGAACACCGGUGGCGAAGGCGGGUCUCUGGGCAGUAACUGACGCUGAGGAGCGAAAGCUAGGGGAGCGAACAGG